rnacentral:rRNA from 1 species
AGUAACGCGUGGGUAACCUGCCUUAUACAGGGGAGUAACAGUCAGAAAUGGCUGCUAAUACCGCAUAAGCGCACAGAGCUGCAUGGCUCAGUGUGAAAAACUCCGGUGGUAUAAGAUGGACCCGCGUUGGAUUAGCUAGUUGGUGGGGUAACGGCCCACCAAGGCGACGAUCCAUAGCCGGCCUGAGAGGGUGAACGGCCACAUUGGGACUGAGACACGGCCCAG